rnacentral:rRNA from 1 species
UACGAAGGGGGCUAGCGUUGUUCGGAAUUACUGGGCGUAAAGCGUGCGCAGGCGGCCAUCCAAGUCAGUGGUGAAAGCCCGGAGCUCAACUCCGGAAUUGCCAUUGAAACUGUUUGGCCCGAGUACGAGAGAGGUGAGUGGAAUUCCCAGUGUAGAGGUGAAAUUCGUAGAUAUUGGGAAGAACACCGGUGGCGAAGGCGGCUCACUGGCUCGUAACUGACGCUCAUGCACGACAGCGUGGGGAUCAAACAGG